UUCUGGCUCAGGAUGAACGCUAGCUACAGGCUUAACACAUGCAAGUCGAGGGGCAGCAUGAUCAAAGCUUGCUUUGAUUGAUGGCGACCGGCGCACGGGUGAGUAACGCGUAUCCAACCUUCCCCUUAGUAGGGCAUAGCCCGGCGAAAGUCGGAUUAAUACCCUAUGUUAUUCGUCGAGGACAUCUGAAGUGAAUCAAAGAUUUAUCGCUAAGGGAUGGGGAUGCGUCUGAUUAGGUUGUUGGCGGGGUAACGGCCCACCAAGCCAUCGAUCAGUAGGGGUUCUGAGAGGAAGGUCCCCCACAUUGGUACUGAGACACGGACCAAACUCCUACGGGAGGCAGCAGUGAGGAAUAUUGGUCAAUGGGCGAGAGCCUGAACCAGCCAAGUAGCGUGCCAGGAUGACUGCCCUAUGGGUUGUAAACUGCUUUUAUACGGGGAUAAAGUGAGGUAUGCAUACCUUUUUGUAGGUACCGUAUGAAUAAGGACCGGCUAAUUCCGUGCCAGCAGCUGC
rnacentral:rRNA from 1 species